rnacentral:rRNA from 1 species
ACGGGGGGGGCAAGCGUUGUUCGGAAUUACUGGGCGUAAAGGGCGCGUAGGCGGUGCUCUAAGUCGGAUGUGAAAACUCUGGGCUCAACCCAGAGCCUGCAUCCGAAACUGGAGUGCUAGAGUUCUGGAGGGGGUAGCGGAAUUCCUGGUGUAGCGGUGAAAUGCGUAGAUAUCAGGAGGAACACCGGUGGCGAAGGCGGCUACCUGGACAGAAACUGACGCUGAGGCGCGAAAGCGUGGGUAGCGAACAGGA